GACGUAGGUGGCGAACGUUAUCCGGAAUUAUUGGGCGUAAAGAGCGCGCAGGCGGUCGGAUAAGUCGAAUGUGAAAGCCCCCGGCUCAACUGGGGAGGGUCAUUCGAUACUGUUCGACUCGAAGGCAGGAGAGGGAAGUGGAAUUCCCGGUGUAGUGGUGAAAUGCGUAGAUAUCGGGAGGAACACCAGUGGCGAAGGCGACUUCCUGGCCUGUUCUUGACGCUGAGGCGCGAAAGCUAGGGGAGCAAACGGG
rnacentral:rRNA from 1 species